GGAGGUGUUGGUGGGCCUGAUCACAACCUGAUGUCAACCCUGGUCACAUGGCGCACGCAACCCCGCCCCCGGAAGCGGUCGCACGGUUACUAGGGGGAGGUGUGCUCCUUCCGGAAGACGUGGCGGCUGAUGUGUAUUUGUAGAAGCCGAUGAGAAUCAGCGGCCGGCGAUAUGAUUUCCCUGACGGACUCGCAGAAAAUUGGAAUGGGAUUAACAGGCUUUGGUGUGUUUUUCCUGUUCUUUGGCAUGGUUCUGUUCUUUGACAAGGCACUCCUUGCAAUAGGAAAUAUUUUAUUUGUGGCAGGCUUGUCUUUUGUAAUCGGUUUAGAAAGGACUUUCAGGUUCUUCUUUCAGAAGCACAAAGUGAAAGCCACGGGCUUUUUUCUGGGUGGCAUUUUUGUGGUGCUGAUUGGCUGGCCUGUAAUAGGCAUGGUUCUUGAAAUUUAUGGAUUCUUUCUUUUAUUCAGGGGUUUCUUCCCGGUGGUGGUUGGCUUUAUUAGACGAGUGCCUAUAUUAGGCUCUAUUCUGAAUUUACCCGGAAUAAGCUCAUGUAGUGGGCCCUCCCCGACUAAUAGGAGUACCAGUAGACCCUAAUUCGAGCAUAGGCCUUGUUUGCUUCUACAACUGUAUUGAACAUAUCUGAUAUGUAAUGGCAGAAAAGUGGGCAGAUUCACACAAGAACAGAGACUGCCUGGACAGUGCCUGCACAAUGAGGAAUUAUUGAAAAAGCAAAUUUAAAACGUGCCAAUUACUCCAAAUCAGCAACAGGGAUGGGACAGGGGGAUGAAUUUUAAUGAAUAUCGAAGAUGAACUUCAGUUGAAGAAUGAGGAAGACAUGCAAAAGCUAGUUUGUAGAUAAAGUUGGCGAAAGCAACAGCAUGGUAUAACAGAGACUGGAUGGAAAACUACUACAGAAGUAUACUGUAUCAUAUAUUUAUAAGGUUUACCUAAGGCAAAACAUUUCUAAAUUUAUAUUUUACUGAGUUACCUGUGUAGGAAAAAAUAAAACUUGAUAACAUUCUUUGUAUCAAAAUAUUUUGUCAUAGAGGGGGAAAGGUGGUCAUAGCAUUGAAUUCCACUCUUUUUGACCCUUCCUCCCGACCCUCAUGUUCUAAAUGUCUCUUUGUGUGGGAUGCUUUACACCACAUCCUCCAGCAGGAAGGGCAAGAUGGGUUGGGCUGUGGACUGCACCACUACCACCAUCAAUGCUGCUCAAUGAUCAGCAGGAAGGAAGUGGACCUUAAACUAGGUGAGUUGGACCAAGCAAGACCAACUGACAAGGAACAUGUUGCUUUUUAAUGUUGAACCAUGUUCAACUAAGACAAGUGAGUUUGAAAAACUAGAAGGGCUUUGACUCACCUCACCACUUUUUGGUUUGCAGGUCAAGUAAUGAAACACUUGAAUGAAAUAGGCCAUGUCCCAUUUUUCACUUAAAAAAAAAAUAUGGCUGUUCUUAUCUUUUAGAUAAAAAUAACUAGCUUACAAAACCAUGCUUGUCUUGCCCCAAUUGUGUGUCCCCCUACUGUUAUUUUUGAUCACGUCAUUGUCUCUUUGUGUUAUACCUGCAUUUUCUUAUGUGAAAGACCAGGUUAAUGAUGAGUUUUUAUCUUUUGUGACUGCCUCAUUUGGCAGGAAUUUUGUGCAAACAGACAUCUUGGACUUAUUAUGUACCUUUAGAAGAUGGUGAUUAUAGGUGUUAAGAUUUUUUUUUAAGAAAGGUUAUCUUUUCAAACAUGCAAGUUCUUCUUGAUGUUAAACUAUUGUAAAUAAAUGUUUGAAGCAAA